UACAGAGGGGGCAAGCGUUGUUCGGAAUUACUGGGCGUAAAGGGCGCGUAGGCGGCCGCCUAAGUCAGACGUGAAAUCCCCGGGCUCAACCCGGGAACUGCGUCCGAUACUGGAAGGCUUGAAUCCGGGAGAGGGAUGUGGAAUUCCAGGUGUAGCGGUGAAAUGCGUAGAUAUCUGGAGGAAUACCGGUGGCGAAGGCGGCAUCCUGGACCGGCAUUGACGCUGAGGAGCGAAAGCUAGGGGAGCAAACGGG
rnacentral:rRNA from 1 species